UUAAGUUAUUAAGGGCGCACGGUGGAUGCCUUGGCACUAGAAGCCGAUGAAGGACGUUACUAACGACGAUAUGCUUUGGGGAGCUGUAAGUAAGCUUUGAUCCAGAGAUUUCCGAAUGGGGAAACCCAGCAUGAGUUAUGUCAUGUUAUCGAUAUGUGAAUACAUAGCAUAUCAGAAGGCACACCCGGAGAACUGAAACAUCUUAGUACCCGGAGGAAGAGAAAGAAAAUUCGAUUCCCUUAGUAGCGGCGAGCGAAACGGGAAGAGCCCAAACCAACAAGCUUGCUUGUUGGGGUUGUAGGACACUCUAUACGGAGUUACAAAGGACGACAUUAGACGAAUCAUCUGGAAAGAUGAAUCAAAGAAGGUAAUAAUCCUGUAGUCGAAAAUGUUGUCUCUCUUGAGUGGAUCCUGAGUACGACGGAGCACGUGAAAUUCCGUCGGAAUCUGGGAGGACCAUCUCCUAAGGCUAAAUACUCUCUAGUGACCGAUAGUGAACCAGUACCGUGAGGGAAAGGUGAAAAGCACCCCGGAAGGGGAGUGAAAUAGAACCUGAAACCGUGUGCUUACAAGUAGUCAGAGCCCGUUAAUGGGUGAUGGCGUGCCUUUUGUAGAAUGAACCGGCGAGUUACGAUUUGAUGCAAGGUUAAGCAGUAAAUGUGGAGCCGUAGCGAAAGCGAGUCUGAAUAGGGCGUUUAGUAUUUGGUCGUAGACCCGAAACCAGGUGAUCUACCCUUGGUCAGGUUGAAGUUCAGGUAACACUGAAUGGAGGACCGAACCGACUUACGUUGAAAAGUGAGCGGAUGAACUGAGGGUAGCGGAGAAAUUCCAAUCGAACCUGGAGAUAGCUGGUUCUCUCCGAAAUAGCUUUAGGGCUAGCCUCAAGUGAUGAUUAUUGGAGGUAGAGCACUGUUUGGACGAGGGGCCCCUCUCGGGUUACCGAAUUCAGACAAACUCCGAAUGCCAAUUAAUUUAACUUGGGAGUCAGAACAUGGGUGAUAAGGUCCGUGUUCGAAAGGGAAACAGCCCAGACCACCAGCUAAGGUCCCAAAAUAUAUGUUAAGUGGAAAAGGAUGUGGCGUUGCCCAGACAACUAGGAUGUUGGCUUAGAAGCAGCCAUCAUUUAAAGAGUGCGUAAUAGCUCACUAGUCGAGUGACACUGCGCCGAAAAUGUACCGGGGCUAAACAUAUUACCGAAGCUGUGGAUUGUCCUUUGGACAAUGGUAGGAGAGCGUUCUAAGGGCGUUGAAGCAUGAUCGUAAGGACAUGUGGAGCGCUUAGAAGUGAGAAUGCCGGUGUGAGUAGCGAAAGACGGGUGAGAAUCCCGUCCACCGAUUGACUAAGGUUUCCAGAGGAAGGCUCGUCCGCUCUGGGUUAGUCGGGUCCUAAGCUGAGGCCGACAGGCGUAGGCGAUGGAUAACAGGUUGAUAUUCCUGUACCACCUAUAAUCGUUUUAAUCGAUGGGGGGACGCAGUAGGAUAGGCGAAGCGUGCGAUUGGAUUGCACGUCUAAGCAGUAAGGCUGAGUAUUAGGCAAAUCCGGUACUCGUUAAGGCUGAGCUGUGAUGGGGAGAAGACAUUGAGUCUUCGAGUCGUUGAUUUCACACUGCCGAGAAAAGCCUCUAGAUAGAAAAUAGGUGCCCGUACCGCAAACCGACACAGGUAGUCAAGAUGAGAAUUCUAAGGUGAGCGAGCGAACUCUCGUUAAGGAACUCGGCAAAAUGACCCCGUAACUUCGGGAGAAGGGGUGCUCUUUAGGGUUAACGCCCAGAAGAGCCGCAGUGAAUAGGCCCAAGCGACUGUUUAUCAAAAACACAGGUCUCUGCUAAACCGUAAGGUGAUGUAUAGGGGCUGACGCCUGCCCGGUGCUGGAAGGUUAAGAGGAGUGGUUAGCUUCUGCGAAGCUACGAAUCGAAGCCCCAGUAAACGGCGGCCGUAACUAUAACGGUCCUAAGGUAGCGAAAUUCCUUGUCGGGUAAGUUCCGACCCGCACGAAAGGCGUAACGAUUUGGGCACUGUCUCAACGAGAGACUCGGUGAAAUCAUAGUACCUGUGAAGAUGCAGGUUACCCGCGACAGGACGGAAAGACCCCGUGGAGCUUUACUGUAGCCUGAUAUUGAAAUUCGGCACAGCUUGUACAGGAUAGGUAGGAGCCUUUGAAACGUGAGCGCUAGCUUACGUGGAGGCGCUGGUGGGAUACUACCCUAGCUGUGUUGGCUUUCUAACCCGCACCACUUAUCGUGGUGGGAGACAGUGUCAGGCGGGCAGUUUGACUGGGGCGGUCGCCUCCUAAAAGGUAACGGAGGCGCUCAAAGGUUCCCUCAGAAUGGUUGGAAAUCAUUCAUAGAGUGUAAAGGCAUAAGGGAGCUUGACUGCGAGACCUACAAGUCGAGCAGGGUCGAAAGACGGACUUAGUGAUCCGGUGGUUCCGCAUGGAAGGGCCAUCGCUCAACGGAUAAAAGCUACCCCGGGGAUAACAGGCUUAUCUCCCCCAAGAGUUCACAUCGACGGGGAGGUUUGGCACCUCGAUGUCGGCUCAUCGCAUCCUGGGGCUGUAGUCGGUCCCAAGGGUUGGGCUGUUCGCCCAUUAAAGCGGUACGCGAGCUGGGUUCAGAACGUCGUGAGACAGUUCGGUCCCUAUCCGUCGUGGGCGUAGGAAAUUUGAGAGGAGCUGUCCUUAGUACGAGAGGACCGGGAUGGACAUACCUCUGGUGUACCAGUUGUCGUGCCAACGGCAUAGCUGGGUAGCUAUGU
rnacentral:rRNA from 8 species